rnacentral:lncRNA from 1 species
AAAUCCUCAGCACACGUAGUAUAGAGCCUGAGACGCAGGAGGAAAUUGCCUCCAUAGAAACCAUUAUUUCCAAGAAUACUGAAGAGCAGUCCACAUCAGCUAAGAAAAAUGAAACUGGCAUUCCUAUAGAUAAAAACCAGCCGCUACAGAAUCCUGUUGGUUCAAAAAUGAAUGCAUUUGAAAAACGACUUGAAAAUGUCACUACCACUUUGAACAACCUUCAAAACCGCUUACAGGAGGACUUGAACGAUAUUUAUUUGCAACUUUCCCAAUUUAAAGAUAAUAUCUAUGCUUUGGAGAAUACUCUGACUAUGGCCAGGAUGGAGCAUUUGAAUUCAUAUACUGAAUCAACAACUCAACCUUUCCAAGAAAAUGAAAAGGAAGUGUAUUCUUCAGGACUGCCGUAUAUAACACCUAGUCAGAAUUAUGGUAUCUCGGAUCCAGUCACUGUUUCUGUUCCCUUUACAAACACUGCUCUAGAACCAACAUCACAAGAUUCUACAGAUACAGCAAAUGUUGAAAUACUGGAAGGGAAACCCAAGAUAAUCGUUUCAUUCAUAAAGAAUCUUACAGAUUUCCAAAUCUUUUUCUAUGGUGCUGAUAACAAUGCGAAUGGAUAUUUAACAUACCAUGAAAUAAAGAGCCUUCUAGGAGAAGAGACACCAGAACAAGAACAAUUGGAGCUGUUUGAUGCUGAUCACAACCGGAUGUACUCCUAUGCUGAACUAAUAAGAGCAUUUGGACUGACUGAAUAAAUAAGAAGAUGGAAGUACAAGAAGGAAGAAUAUAUUCAAAGCAGUGGAUUAAGUUUAUUUUACAUCAUGUUCUUUCUAUAUUCUUUCAUUUUGGCAAGAUGUGUUAGGAAAGGUACUUCUGACCAAGUUUCUAAAACUUGUUAGUUCUUUUGAACUUUCUUCAGUUUAAAAUAGCUUUUAUUUCGUGAAAGUCUUUAAAAAUUCCAUAUUACUUCCAGUCUUCAAGAAAAACAACAUUUUUAGUUUGAACUUUUAAAAUAAAUAAUUUCUAAGAAUACUAUAUACA